ACUCACGGCGGCAUGUGGGGCAUCUUGACUUGUGAUCAUGACAUGGGGACUGUCUGUUGAAGAUUAACGUUACUAUCUGAUCUAUGUGACAGCUUUGUUGAUCAGCGGUGCAGAGCUCAUUCAGGCCCCCUGUUCCCGUCUUUGGUCUUUGGUUUCAAACAACCCCAUCUGAGUAAUACCGUACUUCCAAAACAAGGCCUUCAUAGUUGCGGAGCUCAGAGCUAGCCGACUGUCAGCUGUUUGCAAUAUGCUGCUCGGACUUUUGGAGAAGGAGAGGAUGACCAUGUGUGACCUGGCUGCUCACAAAGAGGCCUGUCUUUGUCCGGCGUCUGUAUACAAAGCUCUGGUGGCUGGAUGUUUAUAGAAUUAACCACAGUCCCUUAUUAGGGUUUUAAUAAAAAAUCCCUUUUGGUUCAUA